AGUGUUUGGGCCUUAUUUCAAGUCCAUCAACUAUGAGGCCGCCUUUCAAGUGCACGCCUUUAACUUCCUUGAGGCACAUUCUGACUUCUUCGUUUGAAUGGGUGUAAAAACUCCCCAACUCAAUCUCCGACCAUUCUUCAUCUUCAAAACGAAAAGAACAUUUGGUGUCUGUUUUUCGACAUGAACGUAUGCAAACGGUUCCUUGUGAUUUAUGUUUGCCAACUUCUACGGACACCUCCGAUGGUAACACGUCUAACCCAUAAGCUCGAUCCGCGAUUUUCACUUUCAGGUAGGCUCCGUAUAAAGUAUUGGGAGAUAACAUUCCGCUGUUUAUGCUUCCCUUUAUUUCCAGCCAGCUUAUGGUUCUCAGUUCAGCUGCUUCUUCAAAUCUACGCACAGAUUUCAAAAACGAGUUUGUAAUUGGACAUGACAUGACAUGAUACCUAUGAAGAAAUUGAAGUGGAAAGUUACAGUUAAAAGAGAAAGUGUUUGAGAAUUGGAAAGAUGUCGACGAUGCAGAAACAAACCUUGAACCUCGGAUGGGUUUCCAGGACCAAUACAGAGGGCUGUUUCCCCAUGCAAUUGAAAGUUGUCUUGCGCUCAACAGCAUGAGCUGCCACUUAUAAAGACUCUAGCAAAUGUACAAGGUUUUGGUAAAAUAUGCAAACUCUUCAAUUAGAGUUUACACUGGACCAAAUAGUGAUUUUGCUAUGAGCCUUUACAAUCUGCAAAGGGACAAACACUGAAGAAAGUUACCUUGUUACCGUCGUCAAUUGGUCGUGGAUCGCAUAAC